rnacentral:tRNA from 1 species
GGGGUUGUGGCUCAGUGGUAGAGCGCUUACCUGUCAUGCAUGAAGGCCUGGGUUCGAGCCUCAGCACCA